GAUCCUCCCACCCUUUGUGUACCUACCUCUGUUGCUUUGGCGGGCCGCGGUUCUCCGCGGCCGCCCCCCUCCCCGGGGGGUGGCCAGCGCCCGCCAGAGGACCAUCAAACUCCAGUCAGUAAACGAUGCAGUCUGAAAAACAUUUAAUAAACUAAAACUUUCAACAACGGAUCUCUUGGUUCUGGCAUCGAUGAAGAACGCAGCGAAAUGCGAUAAGUAAUGUGAAUUGCAGAAUUCAGUGAAUCAUCGAAUCUUUGAACGCACAUUGCGCCCUUUGGUAUUCCGAAGGGCAUGCCUGUUCGAGCGUCAUUACAACCCUCAAGCUCUGCUUGGUAUUGGGCACCGUCCUUUGCGGGCGCGCCUCAAAGACCUCGGCGGUGGCGUCUUGCCUCAAGCGUAGUAGAACAUACAUCUCGCUUCGGAGCGCAGGGCGUCGCCCGCCGGACGAACCUUCUGAACUUUUCUCAAGGUUGACCUCGGAUCAGGUAGGGAUACCCGCUGAACUUAAGCAUAUCAAUAAGCGGAGGAAAAGAAACCAACAGGGAUUGCCUUAGUAACGGCGAGUGAAGCGGCAACAGCUCAAAUUUGAAAGCUGGCUCCUUUGGAGUCCGCGUUGUAAUUUGUAGAGGAUGAUUCGGCAAGGGCUCCCGCCUAAGUCUCCUGGAACGGAGCGUCAUAGAGGGUGAGAAUCCCGUAUGCGGUGGGCUGCCUAAGCCAUGUGAAUCUCCUUCGACGAGUCGAGUUGUUUGGGAAUGCAGCUCUAAAUGGGGAGGUAAAUUUCUUCUAAGCUAAAUACCGGGCCAGAGACCGAUAGCGCACAAGUAGAGUGAUCGAAAGAUGAAAAGCACUUUGGAAAGAGAGUUAAAAAGU
rnacentral:rRNA from 1 species